AGUCGAACGAACUCUGGUAUUGAUUGGUGCUUGCAUCAUGAUUUACAUUUGAGUGAGUGGCGAACUGGUGAGUAACACGUGGGAAACCUGCCCAGAAGCGGGGGAUAACACCUGGAAACAGAUGCUAAUACCGCAUAACAACUUGGACCGCAUGGUCCGAGUUUGAAAGAUGGCUUCGGCUAUCACUUUUGGAUGGUCCCGCGGCGUAUUAGCUAGAUGGUGAGGUAACGGCUCACCAUGGCAAUGAUACGUAGCCGACCUGAGAGGGUAAUCGGCCACAUUGGGACUGAGACACGGCCCAAACUCCUACGGGAGGCAGCAGUAGGGAAUCUUCCACAAUGGACGAAAGUCUGAUGGAGCAACGCCGCGUGAGUGAAGAAGGGUUUCGGCUCGUAAAACUCUGUUGUUAAAGAAGAACAUAUCUGAGAGUAACUGUUCAGGUAUUGACGGUAUUUAACCAGAAAGCCACGGCUAACUACGUGCCAGCAGCCGCGGUAAUACGUAGGUGGCAAGCGUUGUCCGGAUUUAUUGGGCGUAAAGCGAGCGCAGGCGGUUUUUUAAGUCUGAUGUGAAAGCCUUCGGCUCAACCGAAGAAGUGCAUCGGAAACUGGGAAACUUGAGUGCAGAAGAGGACAGUGGAACUCCAUGUGUAGCGGUGAAAUGCGUAGAUAUAUGGAAGAACACCAGUGGCGAAGGCGGCUGUCUGGUCUGUAACUGACGCUGAGGCUCGAAAGUAU
rnacentral:rRNA from 1 species